GACGAACGCUGGCGGCGUGCUUAACACAUGCAAGUCGAACGGAAAGGCCCUGCUUUUGUGGGGUGCUCGAGUGGCGAACGGGUGAGUAACACGUGAGUAACCUGCCCUUGACUUUGGGAUAACUUCAGGAAACUGGUGCUAAUACCGGAUAGGAGCUCCUGCUGCAUGGUGGGGGUUGGAAAGUUUCGGCGGUUGGGGAUGGACUCGCGGCUUAUCAGCUUGUUGGUGGGGUAGUGGAUUACCAAGGCGUUGACGGGUAGCCGGCCUGAGAGGGUGACAGGCCACAUUGGGAUUGAGAUACGGCCCAGACUCCUACGGGAGGCAGCAGUGGGGAAUAGUGCACAAUGGGCGGAAGCCUGAUGCAGCAACGCCGCGUGCGGGAUGAGGGCAUUGGGGUUGUAAACCGCUUUCGCUUGUGACGAAGCGUGAGUGACGGUACUGGGUAAAGAAGCACCGGCUAACUACGUG
rnacentral:rRNA from 1 species